CUUUGAUUUCCUUUUUCUUCCUUUCCCAUUUUUCAUUCACAAAACUACAAAAACAAUGGUAGUUCCGGUGAUUUCAUUGUGGAACAUGACUUGGGACUCGUGAUCUUGCUACGAAAAUUGGAUUCCGGCGAGGAGGUGUAUGGAGUUAAAUCAGCUAUGGAGUUGAUGUUGUUUUUCAUCCUCACAAUCUCUACGACUAUGGAGUUAAAUUAGCUAUGGAUUGUCCUAGAAUGUCCAUGUUUCUUGCUUGGAGGAAUCCGGUUCAGAGGAUGAGACAUCAGUGAGGGUUAAGCGUUUGGAGGACAUGUGUGGGAGAAGUAGACUUGUGUUCUUUAGAGGGGUUGCUACUGUUGUUACUAAGUUGUUCAAUAUUGUGGAACUCGAUGUUGCAGUGUUUGGAAAGAAGGAUUAUCAGCAAUGGCUAGAUUAUCAGGCGGAUGGUAGGAAAUUUGGCUCUUCUAGUUGAAGAUUGGACAACUAGUGGAAAGCAAGUAUCAAACAACGCUUGAUGCCUUAUUAAAAGCAAAAGAUAUGGACACACAUGGUGUAAUUAGCUUUAGGGUAGGCAUUAUAGAAAUUGGAGUUACUGUUUUGUAUUUCUUUGAACUUAUGCCGAACCAUUUAAUUGUAUUCUUGAAGUUGAUCAUUUGUGAUAUAGAGGAUGUAAUUGAAAAGAAUUUUGUUCUUUCAUUAUCUUUAAUGUAUUAUUCCAACCCUUA